AUUAAUAGCGUAGGUGUUUUAUUAACUGUGCAAUAUUUUCAACACUCCCUUGCAUGCCAUUUCAUGUGGAAUAUCUUUUCUGGUCACAAAUUUGUGCAGCGAAUCUAUUUGCAUGAUCGACUCCGGGCCUGUGGGACCGUUCACUUGCACUUGAUGCUGAGUCUUUUACAUGUAUCCACAAACUGCAGAUAUGCACAUCAGAUCCCUGCGAGCGUUUUCAAAAUUCAAUUAUUUUAGACAACAGGCACAUAUGCAAUACUGACAAAAUCUCAAUUACCACUAAGCAGCUGGGACACAUUUUUGUUGACCAUACUCGCAGGUAAAAUAAGAUCAUGUGGACAGCUCCAGCUCAUUUUCCUUAAAUCAGUGUGUACAAGGGGUAUGCAAAAAUAAUUUUUUCUCGCGCACCAAUGAUUUUGCUGUAUAAGCAAGAGAACCCACCACGUUAGUGUAACGUAUCUUGUACAUCACACUAAUAUGUGCUUUAAUUUACCAUGUCAGAUGAGUUACUUUUAUGGCUCAUUCAGUCAUAUCACACUGCAAGCUGCAUUCAUCAAUCUUCAAUUGGAUUUUGCAAAUGCUUAAUGAAACAUGUUUCUCUUUUAUGCAGAUAUGCAAUGGCAAGCCCUUCCGUGUGUUCCAAAGGUAAAAUUUAAGCUCUAAAUUAAAGAAGACAUUUCUAGUCAGAAACAAGCAAAAAUGGUGAAUGCAGAGUAUCAGAAGCCCAAGGUACAGAAAUUAUGAGAAGUGUCGAAUGAUUUUAAGGAAAGAGUCAUAUUUGAAAAUGCAAGACUCUUUAGUGGAGGUCAAGCAAGUCAAUAUAGGUAGAAUUCUCUGCAAAAUUAUGCGAGUGAGGGGAUGUCAAACAAUGGGUGAGGAAAUGCAUUGUUUUUCUGCAAAACAAAGGCUCAUUGCCAUUGCAUAAGUCACUUUAGCAUCAUGAGACUGCUGCUUGAUAAAUUCAGAAAUAAACCAAAAAACAAGACACGCAAAAAUAAAAAAAAACAAUUAAAUGAUGCUCUCUCCACACUGGGAUAAAUAAAAACAAACACAUAAUAUCUAAUGUGGACAUAUCAGAUGCCUUGUGAAACACUAAAGAAAAAAUUCAGUUUCGAGCUAUGGCACUUGCCGCAUAGAUGUGGGGGGCCUUGCACUAAUAGUGAUAGUUGCCACUGCAUUUAGAUAUUGAAAGCAUUCAUGCAGACAAGGAUUAUUCUUUAUAUUUUUGGCUACCAUUUCAAAUGCCUCCACCAAGUGUUACAAUGCUGCACGCAGCCAUACUAAGGAUCUCGCAGCAACACCUGUAGGUAAAAAGCAGAAGCAGUCAAAGUGCUGGUGUGUACUGGACACUAUGUUUGAAAACAUUUAGGCAAGAAGAGUGCAAGAAGCAGACAUAACAACUGCAUUUAUUUCCAUAAUUCCCCAUUUGAAUGGCCUUUUCUUUUUGCUUAGACAAUGCCUACGCCUAGCCACAGCAGCUCCCUCAUACAGACUCCGCAAGCCAAGAGGCCGUGGAGGCAAAUACAGGCAGCCAGCACACCUCGAACAGCCACCUUGACUGCUGGUGUGUCACCCUAGUCGCCAAGGAAACAUUUGAGGGAAAGCGACAGGCAAUGUGAACAGCCACUUCCCCAUGUAAACGAUACUCUUUCUCUUGGAUGACUCCUACGCCACGCCACGCCAGCACACUUGUGCACCAAGAUGCCGCGGAGGCACGUACAGGUCAGAGGCAAGAAGCAGUGGCGCUGAUGUCGACAUUCACCCAAUUUCUUUUUCUUACACUGGGGCAGCCAGCACACCUCGAACUGCCACCUUGACUGCGGGUGUGUCAGUAGAUUCCUGUUGUACAUAUGCUCAUAAUAAACUUCAGUAAACUUGAACUUGAUGAUAAACUUGAAGGCAAAUGGGA
rnacentral:lncRNA from 1 species